rnacentral:lncRNA from 1 species
AAAACAGCCUCACUAAGGCGUUCUUUAUGUUCUCAACGUUUUACUAGCAAGGGGCUCACCCCCGCGUCUCCGCAGGGACCGGGGGGGGGGGGGGGGGGANNCCCCCGGGGGGGGGGGGGGGGGGGGGGGGGAGAUGGCCGGCCGGACACAGGGCCGCGGCCCCCCCAGCCCCGCCAAGGCCGUGCCCAGCGGCCCCCUCGGCCCCCCCACACCCCUCGGACAACCGGCCCGCUCCCUGCCCCGCAGGCAAACGGCGGCCGGGGCCGGGCGGGAGGCGCCGGGACACACUACCCCACGCGUCCCCGGCUGGGGAAAAAAAAAAAAAACAACAAAAAAAAACACAACACCAAAACCACAAAAAAACAACAAACCCCCAAAACCCAAAUAACACUUUGGGCGAACAGGCGAGGGAAAAACGCGACCGGGGGAGCGGAGCGGGGCCGGGCCGGGCCGGGCCGGCCCCCUCCCCCGCCCGCUCCCAGGGGCCUGCGGCUGAUACCGAGUCGCUCGCCCCGGCCCCACGGCGUCGGGGCACCCGUGGUAAUUGACGGUCUCUCGCUCGCCCGGGCCCGUCACGGCGGAGGGGGCGGGGCGCCCCGACCGACCGACCUACCUCCUCUUCCUCCUCCUCCUCCUCCUCCUCCUCUUCUUCUUCUUCCUCCUCUUCCUCCUCCUCCUUCCGCACCGCCGCCCUGCCGCUUCCGCCUACCCGAAAAAGCCGCGCUCCCGCCGGCCCCGCGCCAGCCAAUGAGAAUCGCGCUCGCCCUUCCGUCCCGCCUCCUUCUGGCCUCUCCUACCAAUCGCGGCCCCUCAUAUCGCCAGCUGCCAAUCCCGGCAGCGGCACUGCCCUUUCCUCUCCCCCAGGGGGCGCCGCUGGGGCGCGCUUCCGCCCCGGUCCCUCCCGCCGGAAGUGUGAUGUGGCCGAGAGCGGGUCGCCAUGGUAAGCGCUGGGCGGCGGGCGGGCGGGGGGUGCCUGCUCCGCUCCGGGGUCACCCCGGCCCCCUCCCCGGCCCCCCCCUCCCCUCCCGCCGGUACGGCCGGCUUCCGUGCCAGCCGCGUCUACCGCCGAGCGAGGCUUCCCGGGCCCGCUGGCACCCCUGCGGCCCCUCGCAUCCCAUCCGGGCCGGGCCUGUGAACCCCUUCAGAGGCCGAGGCCCUCGCCCCGCGGCGGGGCGGCGAGCCCGCGGGGACGGAGCCGCCGCAGUUCUGCCGUAA